rnacentral:rRNA from 1 species
CCUACGGGCGGCUGCAGUGGGGAAUAUUGGACAAUGGGGGCAACCCUGAUCCAGCCAUGCCGCGUGUGUGAAGAAGGCCCUCGGGUUGUAAAGCACUUUCAGUGAGGAAGAACGCCUGGUGGUUAAUACCUAUCAGGAAAGACAUCACUCACAGAAGAAGCACCGGCUAACUCCGUGCCAGCAGCCGCGGUAAUACGGAGGGUGCGAGCGUUAAUCGGAAUUACUGGGCGUAAAGCGCGCGUAGGUGGCUUGAUAAGCCGGUUGUGAAAGCCCCGGGCUCAACCUGGGAACGGCAUCCGGAACUGUCAAGCUAGAGUGCAGGAGAGGAAGGUAGAAUUCCCGGUGUAGCGGUGAAAUGCGUAGAGAUCGGGAGGAAUACCAGUGGCGAAGGCGGCCUUCUGGACUGACACUGACACUGAGGUGCGAAAGCGUGGGUAGCAAACAGGAUUAGAUACCCCAGUAGUC